CCUACGGGGGGCUGUAGUGGGGAAUAUUGGACAAUGGGCGAAAGCCUGAUCCAGCCAUGCCGCGUGUGUGAAGAAGGCCUUCGGGUUGUAAAGCACUUUCAGUGGGGAAGAAAGCCUUGGGGCUAAUACCCUCGAGGAAGGACAUCACCCACAGAAGAAGCACCGGCUAACUCCGUGCCAGCAGCCGCGGUAAUACGGAGGGUGCGAGCGUUAAUCGGAAUUACUGGGCGUAAAGCGCGCGUAGGCGGUCUGAUAAGCCGGUUGUGAAAGCCCCGGGCUCAACCUGGGAACGGCAUCCGGAACUGUCAGGCUAGAGUGCAGGAGAGGAAGGUAGAAUUCCCGGUGUAGCGGUGAAAUGCGUAGAGAUCGGGAGGAAUACCAGUGGCGAAGGCGGCCUUCUGGACUGACACUGACGCUGAGGUGCGAAAGCGUGGGUAGCAAACAGGAUUAGAUACCCCAGUAGUC
rnacentral:rRNA from 1 species